GCACUGGUGGUUCAGUGGUAGAAUUCUUGCCUUCCGUGCAGGAGACCUGAGUUUGAUUCUCAGCCAUAUCU
rnacentral:tRNA from 1 species